rnacentral:misc_RNA from 1 species
GUCGUAACAAGGUUUCCGUAGGUGAACCUGCGGAAGGAUCAUUAUCGAAUGUAGGACUGUAGCUGGCUCUCUGAGCAUGUGCACGUCUAUCCAUACCCACACACCUGUGCACCCGUUGUAGGUUCUCGAAAGAGAAUCUAUGUCUUUUUAUAAUCACACCUAUCGUAUGUCUAUAGAAUGAAUAAAUCAAUACAA